UGGUGGAGUGAUUUGUCUGGUUAAUUCCGAUAACGAACGAGACCUUAACCUGCUAAAUAGCCAGGCCGGCUACGGCUGGUCGAAGGCUUCUUAGAGGGACUGUCAGCGUCUAGCUGACGGAAGUUUGAGGCAAUAACA
rnacentral:rRNA from 1 species